UACGUAGGGCGCAAGCGUUAUCCGGAAUUAUUGGGCGUAAAGAGCUCGUAGGCGGUUUGUCGCGUCUGCCGUGAAAGUCCGGGGCUCAACUCCGGAUCUGCGGUGGGUACGGGCAGACUAGAGUGCAGUAGGGGAGACUGGAAUUCCUGGUGUAGCGGUGAAAUGCGCAGAUAUCAGGAGGAACACCGGUGGCGAAGGCGGGACUCUGGGCCGAUACUGACGCUGAGGAGCGAAAGCGUGGGGAGCAAACAGG
rnacentral:rRNA from 1 species